UUUACUUGGAUUUGGGUUUAGGAGCAGGAUGACAAGAAGGCCCCUGACUCUGCUGCUAAAGUCAAAGGCGAAUCAGCCAAGAAGGGAUAUGUUGGAAUUCACAUCUCAGGAUUCAGAGAUAUCCUUUUAAGGCCGGAGCUUGUACGCCCGAUUGUGGACUCAAUAUUUGAGCAUCCUUUUGAAGGUAUACUAUUGAAUUCAAUCUUCCCCGGCGACGGUAUGGCCCCGAGAUUGCCGAGUCCGUCAAACAGAUGGAUGGAGUACCCAGCUCAUGCAAGAACUUCGAGACAUCCCUUGGAUCAGUCGUUGGCUACAUAUGGAGACCAUUCAUUCCUGCGCACUUUAAUUUGCUGUUAGUUUUCUCCAGCAUAUAGGUUAAGAUAUGGAAUAUUCAGGAAAAGAAAUGUACUGCAGUUCUGAUGGGGCACACUUAGUAUGAAAUCUUUGAGUUUGGCGUACCCAUGCAACUCCUUAUCUUGACUAAAAAUGUGACUAAUCUUUUAACUUGUUCAUAUGUUUCUACGCUAGCAUUUUUAGGUUUGCAGUUUUGUUUUGUGAAUUAUGUUGGAUCAUGAAUUUGGACAUAAUUAAUGGAAUGCCUCAAUUUUUAGAUGA